rnacentral:rRNA from 1 species
UCCAGACUCCUACGGGAGGCAGCAGUGGGGAAUAUUGCACAAUGGGGGAAACCCUGGUGCAGCGACGCCGCGUGAGUGAAGAAGUAUUUCGGUAUGUAAAGCUCUAUCAGCAGGGAAGAAAAUGACGGUACCUGACUAAGAAGCCCCGGCUAACUACGUGCCAGCAGCCGCGGUAAUACGUAGGGGGCAAGCGUUAUCCGGAUUUACUGGGUGUAAAGGGAGCGUAGACGGCAUGGCAAGUCAGAUGUGAAAGCCCGGGGCUCAACCCCGGGACUGCAUUUGAAACUGUCAGGCUGGAGUGCAGGAGAGGUAAGUGGAAUUCCUAGUGUAGCGGUGAAAUGCGUAGAUAUUAGGAGGAACACCAGUGGCGAAGGCGGCUUUCUGGACUGUAACUGACAUUGAGGCACGAAAGUGUGGGGAGCAAACAGGAUUAGAUACCCGAGUAGAA